rnacentral:rRNA from 1 species
AUUGAACGCUGGCGGCAUGCCUUACACAUGCAAGUCGAACGGCAGCACGGGAGCAAUCCUGGUGGCGAGUGGCGAACGGGUGAGUAAUAUAUCGGAACGUGCCCAGUCGUGGGGAUAACGUAGCGAAAGCUACGCUAAUACCGCAUACGAUCUAUGGAUGAAAGCGGGGGAGUCGCAAGACCUCGCGCGAUUGGAGCGGCCGAUAUCAGAUUAGUAGUUGGUGAGGUAAAGGACUCACCAAGCCGACGAUCUGUAGCUGGUCUGAGAGAGACCAGCACACU